rnacentral:lncRNA from 1 species
AGACAGCCGGCCAAGCCUGCCCCCGCAGCCGCGCCAGCUCUGCCAAGCCCGGCAGAGCUGGGGGCCCAGGGUGGUACCCGCUUCCCUCGAGCGAGCAGUCCCGCUGACCUCGUGCCCGCGCAGGGAUCAGGACCCAGCACCCUCCUCCUCCCCGCGCUCCAGAUGGAGCAACUCAACCCAAAAAGGUUGGUCUGUAUGGUGACGGAAUGUGGUCUCCCAGUUUUCAGCACAGCACUCAUUCAGCUAUUCUGCUCUUCAGAAAGCAGGAGGGAUGUGCCCUAAGGUGGACUAUUGAAAUGAUGAAAGCCACUGAGGAAGAGCCAGAGAAUUCUCGUAGCUGUGAUUAGACAUCAACCUUGGGCAUGCUAAACAUUUCAGCCUGGACACCCUGAGAAGAGCCAGUGCCACUGGUGACA